rnacentral:misc_RNA from 1 species
UACGAAGGGGGCUAGCGUUGUUCGGAAUUACUGGGCGUAAAUCGCGCGCAGGCGGCCUUCCAAGUCAGGGGUGAAAGCCCAGAGCUCAACUCUGGAAUUGCCUUUGAAACUGUUAGGCUUGAGUACGGGAGAGGUGAGUGGAAUUCCCAGUGUAGAGGUGAAAUUCGUAGAUAUUGGGAAGAACACCGGUGGCGAAGGCGGCUCACUGGCCCGUAACUGACGCUCAGGCGCGACAGCGUGGGGAUCAAGCAGG